rnacentral:rRNA from 1 species
CUACGGGUGGCAGCAGUGGGGAAUAUUUGGCAAUGGGCGCAAGCCUGACCCAGCAACGCCGCGUGAAGGAAGAAGGCUCUCGGGUUUUAAACUUCUUUUGUCAGGGAAGAGUAGAAGACGGUACCUGACGAAUAAGCCACGGCUAACUACGUGCCAGCAGCCGCGGUAAUACGUAGGUGGCAAGCGUUGUCCGGAUUUACUGGGUGUAAAGGGCGUGUAGCCGGGUUGACAAGUCAGAUGUGAAAUCCUGCGGCUUAACCGCAGAACUGCAUUUGAAACUGUUGAUCUUGAGUACUGGAGAGGCAGACGGAAUUCCUAGUGUAGCGGUGAAAUGCGUAGAUAUUAGGAGGAACACCAGUGGCGAAGGCGGUCUGCUGGACAGCAACUGACGGUGAGGCGCGAAAGCGUGGGGAGCAAACAGGAUUAGAUACCCGUGUAGUC